rnacentral:rRNA from 1 species
UUGGAGGGCAAGUCUGGUGCCAGCAGCCGCGGUAAUUCCAGCUCCAAUAGCGUAUAUUAAAGUUGUUGCAGUUAAAAAGCUCGUAGUUGAAUUUCGGGAUUCAUCCGUUGGUCGGGCUUCACGGUCCGCACUGGUGUGAUGGGUUCCUACCUUCUGAAUAACCGGCAUGCCAUUAAUUUGGUGCGCCGGGGAAGCAGAACUAUUACCUUGAAAAAAUCAGAGUGCUUAAAGCAGGCAAGUGCCUGAGUAGGUUAGCAUGGAAUAAUAAAAUAGGACGGCAUGGUUCUAUUUUGUUGGUUUCUAGGAUCACCGUAAUGAUUAAUAGGGAUAGUUGGGGGCAUUAGUAUCCAAUUGUCAGAGGUGAAAUUCUUGGAUUUAUUGAAGACUAACUACUGCGAAAGCAUUUGCCAAGGAUGUUUUCAUUAAUCAAGAACGAAAGUUAGGGGAUCGAAGACGAUCAGAUACCGUCGUAGUCUUAACCAUAAACUAUGCCGACUAGGGAUCGGAUGAUGUUAAUUUUUUAAUGACUCAUUCGGCGCCUUACGGGAAACCAAAGUGUUUGGGUUC